CGUAGGGACCAAGCGUUGUUCGGAUUUACUGGGCGUAAAGGGCGCGUAGGCGGCGUGACAAGUCACUUGUGAAAUCUCUGAGCUUAACUCAGAACGGCCAAGUGAAACUGUUGUGCUAGAGUGCAGAAGGGGCAAUCGGAAUUCUUGGUGUAGCGGUGAAAUGCGUAGAUAUCAAGAGGAACACCUGAGGUGAAGACGGGUUGCUGGGCUGACACUGACGCUGAGGCGCGAAAGCCAGGGGAGCAAACGGGAUUAGAUACCCCGGUAGUCCUGGCCCUAAACGAUGAAUACUUGGUGUCUGGAGUUAUUAGUGCUCCGGGUGCCGUCGCUAACGCUUUUAGUAUUCCGCCUGGGGAGUACGCUCGCAAGAGUG
rnacentral:rRNA from 1 species